rnacentral:rRNA from 1 species
UACGAAGGGGGCUAGCGUUGUUCGGAAUUACUGGGCGUAAAGCGCACGUAGGCGGCUUUGCAAGUUAGAGGUGAAAGCCCGGGGCUCAACUCCGGAAUUGCCUUUAAAACUGCAUCGCUAGAAUUGUGGAGAGGUAAGUGGAAUUCCGAGGGUAGAGGUGAAAUUCGUAGAUAUUCGGAAGAACACCAGUGGCGAAGGCGACUUACUGGACACAUAUUGACGCUGAGGUGCGAAAGCGUGGGGAGCAAACAGG